rnacentral:rRNA from 1 species
UACGUAGGGUGCAAGCGUUGUCCGGAAUUAUUGGGCGUAAAGAGCUCGUAGGCGGUUUGUCGCGUCUGCUGUGAAAACGCGAGGCUCAACCUCGCGCCUGCAGUGGAUACGGGCAGACUAGAGUUCGGUAGGGGAGACUGGAAUUCCUGGUGUAGCGGUGAAAUGCGCAGAUAUCAGGAGGAACACCGGUGGCGAAGGCGGGUCUCUGGGCCGAUACUGACGCUGAUGCGCGAAAGCCAGGGGAGCGAACGGG